rnacentral:rRNA from 1 species
CAUGGCUCAGGAUGAACGCUAGCGGGAGGCCUAACACAUGCAAGCCGAGCGGUAGGGUUUCUUCGGAGACCUGAGAGCGGCGCACGGGUGCGGAACACGUGUGCAACCUGCCUUUAUCUGGGGGAUAGCCUUUCGAAAGGGAGAUUAAUACCCCAUAAUAUAUUUAUCGGCAUCGAUGAAUAUUGAAAACUCCGGUGGAUAGAGAUGGGCACGCGCAAGAUUAGAUAGUUGGUGAGGUAACGGCUCACCAAGUCUGCGAUCUUUAGGGGGCCUGAGAGGGUGAUCCCCCACACUGGUACUGAGACACGGACCAGACUCCUACGG